rnacentral:rRNA from 1 species
AUUGAACGCUGGCGGCAUGCCUUACACAUGCAAGUCGAACGGCAGCACGGGGGCAACCCUGGUGGCGAGUGGCGAACGGGUGAGAAUACAUCGGAACGUGCCCCGUAGCGGGGGACAACCAGUCGAAAGACUGGCUAAUACCGCAUACGCUCCACGGAGGAAAGCAGGGGAUCGCAAGACCUUGCACUAUGGGAGCGGCCGAUGCCCGAUUAGCUAGUUGGGAGGUAAAGGCUCACCAAGGCAACGAUCGGUAGCUGGUCUGAGAGGACGACCAGCCACACUGGGACUGAGACACGGCCCAGACUCCUACGGGAGGCAGCAGUGGGGAAUUUUGGACAAUGGGCGCAAGCCUGAUCCAGCCAUGCCGCGUGCGGGAAGAAGGG